rnacentral:rRNA from 1 species
GACGAACGCUGGCGGCGUGCUUAACACAUGCAAGUCGAACGGUGAAGCUCCAGCUUGCUGGAGUGGAUCAGUGGCGAACGGGUGAGUAACACGUGAGCAACCUGCCCCUGACUCUGGAAUAAGCGCUGGAAACGGCGUCUAAUACUGGAUACGAGAAGGGUCCGCAUGGGCACUUUCUGGAAAGUUUUUCGGUUGGGGAUGGGCUCGCGGCCUAUCAGCUUGUUGGUGAGGUAAUGGCUCACCAAGGCGACGACGGGUAGCCGGCCUGAGAGGGCGACCGGCCACACUGGGACUGAGACACGGCCCAGACUCCUACGGGAGGCAGCAGUGGGGAAUAUUGCACAAUGGGCGAAAGCCUGAUGCAGCGACGCCGCGUGAGGGAUGACGGCCUUCGGGUUGUAAACCUCUUUCAGCAGGGAAGAAGCGAAAGUGACGGUACCUGCAGGAGAAGCACCGGCUAACUACGUG